rnacentral:misc_RNA from 1 species
CGCAAACUUGUAGCGCCUCCGCUGCUUCUUCUUUUGUCUGUAUUUUUUUAUUUUAUUCUUUUCGCUUUUGUGGUCGUUUGUUUUCAUUUGGUCAACAGUGGCUCCUAUAAGUAUGGGUGUCUCCGUGUCCGUAAAUUCAAACUCUUGCGUUUCCCUUUCGGUGUAUGGAUUCUAUUUUCUCUUCUAAUUCCUCAUCAAUCUCCUGUUUGAAACCUCGUUUCUUGGAAUCUUCUAAAUCGGCGAUUACUACUUCCCGGAAUCUCUCUUCUUCGAUCUGUUUUAGUGCUCCGACUUCGGAUUCAGGUUCAGAUUCCGCUUUCUCUAUGAUCGGAUUCUCCAGAGCCUCUAUGUCUAACGUUAACGGCAACGGCAACGGCAACAUCAAGCCGAAGAUCGUGAACGGUGAUUUCGGUUACGUUCUUGAAGAUGUUCCUCACUUGACGGAUUACAUUCCUGAUCUUCCUACUUAUUCCAAUCCUCUACAAGACAAUCCGGCAUACUCGGUUGUUAAGCAAUACUUUGUCCAUGUGGAUGACACUGUUCCUCAAAAGAUUGUUGUGCACAAGGAUGGUCCAAGAGGGAUACAUUUCCGACGCGCUGGACCACGCCAAAAGGUUUAUUUUGAAUCAGAUGAAGUUCAUGCUUGCAUUGUAACAUGUGGGGGUCUCUGCCCUGGACUCAACACUGUGAUUAGGGAACUAGUAUGUGGUUUGCACCAUAUGUAUGGCGUGAAGAGAGUGCUGGGAAUUGAUGGUGGUUACAGGGGAUUUUAUGCUCGAAAUACCAUUAACCUGACACCUAAAGUUGUAAAUGAUAUUCAUAAACGUGGUGGGACCAUCCUUGGGACAUCACGAGGCGGCCAUGACACUGCAAAGAUAGUUGAUAGCAUUCAGGAUCGAGGAAUUAAUCAGGUUUACAUAAUCGGAGGGGAUGGAACUCAAAAAGGGGCAUCAGUGAUAUUUGAGGAAAUUAGAAGAAGAGGUCUCAAAGUUGCAGUUGCUGGAAUUCCCAAAACCAUUGAUAAUGACAUUCCAGUUAUUGACAA